rnacentral:rRNA from 1 species
UACGUAGGGACCAAGCGUUGUUCGGAUUUACUGGGCGUAAAGGGCGCGUAGGCGGCAAUUCAAGUCAUCUGUGAAAUCUCCGGGCUUAACUCGGAACGGUCAGAUGAUACUGCUUUGCUAGAGUGCGGAAGGGGCAAUCGGAAUUCUUGGUGUAGCGGUGAAAUGCGUAGAUAUCAAGAGGAAAACCUGAGGUGAAGACGGGUUGCUGGGCCGACACUGACGCUGAUAGCGCGAAAGCCAGGGGAGCAAACGGG